rnacentral:tmRNA from 1 species
GGGGGCGAACGGUCUCGACUGGGUGGGAAGAAGCGAGGCUGCGAGCCGAGGUGCCAGGUCCUCGUUAAUCAACUGGCACGGCGAUAAACGCCAACAACCAGUACGCUCUCGCCGCUUAAAUAGCGACGACGUCUCCCCGGGAGUGCCGGCGGCCCGGGCGAGGCGCUACCGGCCGGCUACCGGCACGAGUCCUGGCCCGGGGCGCGUGACGGGAAUUCAACGGGCUGGCGGCUGACGGAUCCGGUCUGCGGGAGCCGGCGGCCGCGAGAUCCAGAACGCAGACUACGCUCGUAGACGCCUGGCCCUCAUUCACUCAGGACGCGGGUUCGAUACCCGCCGCCUCCACCA